AUUGAACGCUGGCGGCAGGCCUAACACAUGCAAGUCGAGCGAGCGGCGGACGGGUGAGUAAUGUCUGGGAAACUGCCUGAUGGAGGGGGAUAACUACUGGAAACGGUAGCUAAUACCGCAUACCAUCGGAUGUGCCCAUAUGGGAUUAGCUUGUAGGUGGGGUAACGGCUCACCUAGGCGAAGAUCCCUAGCUGGUCUGAGAGGAUGACCAGCCACACUGGAACGGAGACACGGCCCAGACUCCUACGGGAGGCAGCAGUGGGGAAUAUUGCACAAUGGGCGCAAGCCUGAUACAGCCAUGCCGCGUGUAUGAAGAAGGCCUUCGGGUUGUAAAGUACUUUCAGUCGGGAGGCGUUACCCGCAGAAGAAGCACCGGCUAACUCCGUGCCAGCAGCCGCGGUAAUUC
rnacentral:rRNA from 1 species